AUUGAACGCUGGCGGCAUGCCUUACACAUGCAAGUCGAACGAGUGUAGCAAUACACAAGUGGCGAACGGGUGAGUAAUGCAUCGGAACGUAUCCCAUUGUGGGGGAUAACGUAGCGAAAGUUACGCUAAUACCGCAUAAGACCUGAGGGUGAAAGCGGGGGAUCUUCGGACCUCGCGCGAUAGGAGCGGCCGAUGUCGGAUUAGCUAGUAGGUGGGGUAAAGGCUUACCUAGGCGACGAUCCGUAGUGGGUCUGAGAGGAUGAUCCGCCACACUGGGACUGAGACACGGCCCAGACUCCUACGGGAGGCAGCAGUGGGGAAUUUUGGACAAUGGGCGCAAGCCUGAUUCAGCCAUGCCGCGUGAGUGAAGAAGGCCUUCGGGUUGUAAAGCUCUUUCGGACGGAAAGAAAUUGCUUCGGAUAAUACCUGGAGUAGAUGACGGUACCGUAAGAAGAAGCACCGGCUAACUACGUGCCAGCCGCCGCCGUAA
rnacentral:rRNA from 1 species